rnacentral:rRNA from 1 species
UACGUAGGGUGCAAGCGUUGUCCGGAAUUAUUGGGCGUAAAGAGCUCGUAGGCGGUUUGUCGCGUCUGCUGUGAAAACGCGAGGCUCAACCUCGCGCCUGCAGUGGGUACGGGCAGACUAGAGUUCGGCAGGGGAGACUGGAAUUCCUGGUGUAGCGGUGAAAUGCGCAGAUAUCAGGAGGAACACCGGUGGCGAAGGCGGGUCUCUGGGCCGAUACUGACGCUGAGGAGCGAAAGCGUGGGGAGCGAACAGG